rnacentral:rRNA from 1 species
UACGUAGGGUGCGAGCGUUGUCCGGAUUUAUUGGGCGUAAAGGGCUCGUAGGCGGCGUGUCGCGUCGGGGAGUGAAAGCCCGCUGCUUAACGGCGGGUUGGCUUCCGGUACGGGCAUCGCUGGAGUGCGGCAGGGGAGACUGGAAUUCCUGGUGUAGCGGUGGAAUGCGCAGAUAUCAGGAGGAACACCGGUGGCGAAGGCGGGUCUCUGGGCCGUUACUGACGCUGAGGAGCGAAAGCGUGGGGAGCGAACAGG